GACGAACGCUGGCGGCGUGCUUAACACAUGCAAGUCGAACGGAAAGGCCCUGCUUUUGUGGGGUGCUCGAGUGGCGAACGGGUGAGUAACACGUGAGUAACCUGCCCUUGACUUUGGGAUAACUUCAGGAAACUGGGGCUAAUACCGGAUAGGAGCUCCUGCUGCAUGGUGGGGGUUGGAAAGUUUCGGCGGUUGGGGAUGGACUCGCGGCUUAUCAGCUUGUUGGUGGGGUAGUGGCUUACCAAGGCUUUGACGGGUAGCCGGCCUGAGAGGGUGACCGGCCACAUUGGGACUGAGAGACGGCCCAGAGUCCUACGGGAGGCAGCAGUGGGGAAUAUUGCACAAUGGGAGGAAGCCUGAUGCGGCAACGCCGCGGGCGGGAUGACGGCCUUCGGGUUGUAAACCGCUUUCGCCUGUGACGAAGCGGGAGUGACGGUAAUGGGUAAAGAAGCACCGGCUAACUACGUG
rnacentral:rRNA from 1 species